rnacentral:rRNA from 1 species
CAAAUUUGAAAUCUGGCGUCUUUGGCGUCCGAGUUGUAAUUUCAAGAAGUGUCUUCUGGUUUGGCCCUUGCAUAUGUUCCUUGGAACAGGACGUCAUAGAGGGUGAGAAUCCCGUAUAUGGUGAGGUGCCCAUUUCCUUUGUAAGACGCUCUCUAAGAGUCGAGUUGUUUGGGAAUGCAGCUCUAAGUGGGUGGUAAAUUCCAUCUAAAGCUAAAUAUUGGCGAGAGACCGAUAGCGAACAAGUACUGUGAAGGAAAGAUGAAAAGAACUUUGAAAAGAGAGUGAAAAAGUACGUGAAAUUGCUGAAAGGGAAGGGCUUGAGAUCAGACUUGGUAUUCAGUGAUCAGCUGUCUUUCGGGACUGUGCACUCGCUGUUUACUGGGCCAACAUCAGUUUGGAUGGCGAGAUAAUGACAAUUGAAUGUGGCUCUCUCUUCGGGGGGAGUGUUAUAGCUUUUGUUGAUAUCGCCUAU